UAGGGAAUAUUGCGCAAUGGGGGAAACCCUGACGCAGCAACGCCGCGUGAGUGAGGAAGGUCUUCGGAUUGUAAAACUCUUUUAUUUGGGAAAAAUGUCCAUAUGGCUAAUAUCCAUGUGGAGUGAUGGUACCAAAGGAAUAAGCACCGGCUAACUUCGUGCCAGCAGCCGCGGUAAUACGAAGGGUGCAAGCGUUGUUCGGAAUCAUUGGGCGUAAAGCGCGCGCAGGCGGAUCAGCAAGUCAGAUGUGAAAUCUCAGGGCUCAACCCUGAAACUGCGUCUGAAACUGCUAGUCUAGAGUGUCGGAGGGGGUAGGGGAAUUUCACGUGUAGGGGUAAAAUCCGUAGAGAUGUGAAGGAACACCGGUGGCGAAGGCGCCUACCUGGACGACUACUGACGCUGAGGCGCGAAAGCGUGGGGAGCAAACAGG
rnacentral:rRNA from 1 species